UUGCAUCGAUGAAGAACGCAGCGAAACGCGAUAGGUAAUGUGAAUUGCAGAAUUCCGUGAAUCAUCGAAUCUUUGAACGCACCUUGCGCUCCAUGGCAUUCCGUGGAGCAUGCCUGUUUGAGUGCCGCGAAAUCUCCCACCCCUAGCGGUUGCCGCAAGGCGCCGCCGGGCGGCGGGGUUGGUUGGGUGCCGCUGCCUGGGCUUUGGCCCAGGCUCGCCCGAAAUGCAUGAGCGCUUAGCACUCGCACCGUCUCGAGGGAAGGCGGCGGAGCUGGCAUCUGCGCAUGGCAUGAUACGUCAUUUGCUGUGUGGCAGCCCAGCGACCCGAGAGUGUGUGUGCGCUACUACACGCCCUUUCAUUUCUGGUCUCAAAUCAGGUAGGAUCACCCGCUGAA
rnacentral:rRNA from 1 species